rnacentral:lncRNA from 1 species
GCAUCUUUUCAUGCUGCCAGGGUUGGUUUAGUUGGCGCUUGCGUGUGUGGAUGUUCUCAUCUGCCACUGCUGGCGGCGUUUGGUGCUUCCCAGUUUCACCACCGCACAUGUCCUCGUUCGCGCCGUGCCGAUUUGCUCCACGCAUCCGCCAAGACAGCAGGGGCAGCCAGCAAAGUAAUUCGAAUACUUGAUAUACAUGGCCCAGCACGCAUGCCCGACAUGCCGCUGUUCUUCCGGAUCGUUCUCUUGCUCCCGUCCCGUCCAUUAUCGCGUAUCUUGCCUCGGCGCGAUGGCCCCGGUCUUGGACUGGCCUAUCUGACCAUCCAGCCUGCAUUUGUUGAGGGGGUGUGUGCUUAGAUGCACACAGAACGUGAUAACACUUUGAACCGGCCCCC